AAGUGACUACCAAAAAUGCAAAAUACAGUGUUGCUGGAAGUUAAACUUUGACGUCAUCCAAGAACGGGAGUUCAUUAUUGAUGACUCGAGUGCUUACGAGGGUGACUAUAAUUAUGAAGACCCGAAGGAGUGCCAUGAGCACAAUUUGCUAGAAGCAAUGUCGUGUGGCGAGAACAAGACGUGCUGGCGAGGUGUUUGUGGUGAGCAUAACUGGACCGAAAUCUAUGAAAUGUAUCAUACUAACCGCACAUUCCAGACAUGACAUUACUUCUGCCACUUUCACGAAGAACAACUUCAAGAAUCGAAUGAUACGAAAUUUGUGCUGUAUGAGCACGAAACUAGGAACUACUGAACAAUUCUAAUAAAAUGUUUGUUUUUACCAACC